rnacentral:rRNA from 1 species
AUACGGAGGGUGCAAGCGUUAAUCGGAAUUACUGGGCGUAAAGCGUACGUAGGCGGUUAGUUAAGUUGGAUGUGAAAGCCCCGGGCUUAACCUGGGAACUGCAUUUAAAACUGGCUAACUAGAGUUAAGUAGAGGGGAGUGGAAUUUCAGGUGUAGCGGUGAAAUGCGUAGAGAUCUGAAGGAACACCAGUGGCGAAGGCGACUCCCUGGACUUGAACUGACGCUGAGGUACGAAAGCGUGGGUAGCAAACGGGAUUAGAUACCCUAGUAGUCC